ACCACUUUUCUCCCUCAUUUGGUUCAGGUC
rnacentral:piRNA from 1 species